GAUGAACGCUGGCGGCAUGCCUAAUACAUGCAAGUCGAACGAGAGGAAGGAAAGCUUGCUUUCCUGAAUCUAGUGGCGAACGGGUGAGUAACACGUAGGUAACCUGCCCAUGUGCCCGGGAUAGCUUCUGGAAACGGAUGCUAAAACCGGAUAGGUAGCAGACAAGCAUUUGACUGCUAUUAAAGUGGCCUUGGCCAUGAACAUGGAUGGACCUGCGGUGCAUUAGCUGGUUGGUGAGGUAACGGCCCACCAAGGCGACGAUGCAUAGCCGGCCUGAGAGGGCGGACGGCCACAUUGGGACUGAGACACGGGCCCAAAACGUCCUAACGGGGAGGCAGCAGGUACGGGAAUUUUUUCGCAAGUGGGGGGAACCCUGAACGAGCAAU
rnacentral:rRNA from 1 species